UACGAAGGGGGCUAGCGUUGCUCGGAAUCACUGGGGCGUAAAGCGCACGUAGGCGGAUUGUUAAGUCAGGGGUGAAAUCCUGGAGCUCAACUCCAGAACUGCCUUUGAUACUGGCGAUCUUGAGUCCGGGAGAGGUGAGUGGAACUCCGAGUGUAGAGGUGAAAUUCGUAGAUAUUCGGAAGAACACCAGUGGCGAAGGCGGCUCACUGGCCCGGUACUGACGCUGAGGUGCGAAAGCGUGGGGAGCAAACAGGG
rnacentral:rRNA from 1 species